GACGAACGCUGGCGGCGUACCUAAGACAUGCAAGUCGGACGGUUCUUCUACGGGGGGACAGUGGCGGACGGGUGAGGAACGCGUGGGGAACCUGUCGCUAGGUGGGGGAUAACGCAUUGAAAGAUGCGCUAAGACCGCAUAAGGUCUCUGUGGGAGGGACACAGAGAAGAAAGGCUCUUCCGAGGAGGGAGAGACGCCGGAUGAGGGUCCCGCGGCCGAUUAGCUAGUUGGAGGGGUAACGGCCCACCAAGGCGACGAUCGGUAGCUGGUCUGAGAG
rnacentral:rRNA from 1 species